rnacentral:tRNA from 1 species
GGAAGGGUAGCUCAGUGGCAGAGCACCGUCGUGACCCGACGGCGGCUGCAAGGCCCCGCGUGGUUCGAUUCCCGCCCCUUCCG